UCAUUUCAGGGAGUUGAUGUUUUGAGGGACGAUCACAGUUAGCAAAAAAGCUAGUCUUGCAAUAUACACUAUGAUGAUGAUCUUUAAGGUUUUUAUUUUUUGCAUGUUUAUAGGUUUGAGUGUUGAAGAUACAAUCACACCUGACAGAGACAUAGUGACAGCUGAGAAGAGCACUAGUGUUAAACUCUCCUGCACAUAUAGCAGUUCUCUCACCAAUGGUCUGUUGUGGUACCGCCAGUAUCCUGGAUCAGCACCACACUUCAUCAUACAAGACUAUGCAGGGAGCAUAACCAGUCCAAUACCAGGAUUGACUAUCCGCAAUGUGAAAGAUCAGAAACUUGUGGAACUUGGGAUUUCCUCUGUUAAAGUGACAGACUCUGCUCUGUACUACUGUGCGCUGAGGCCCACAGUGACAGGAAGCCCAGACACACUGUACAAAAACCCUGACAUAUUCAGGGGGAGGGUCCUCACAUGUCUCACUCACAGUAACACUUAGAGGAAUGCCUGAGAGGAAAGACACAUGCAGCAGUCUCUGUAAAGACG